GACGAACGCUGGCGGCGUGCUUAACACAUGCAAGUCGAACGCUGAAGCUCAGCUUGCUGGGUGGAUGAGUGGCGAACGGGUGAGUAACACGUGAGUAACCUGCCCUCUUCUUUGGGAUAACGCCCGGAAACGGGUGCUAAUACUGGAUAUUCACUGAUUCUCGCAUGGGGGUUGGUGGAAAGGUUUUUUCUGGUGGGGGAUGGGCUCGCGGCCUAUCAGCUUGUUGGUGGGGUGAUGGCCUACCAAGGCUUGGACGGGUAGCGGGCCUGAGAGGGUGACCGGUCACAUUGGGACUGAGAUACGGCCCAGACUCCUACGGGAGGCAGCAGUGGGGAAUAUAGCACAAUGGGCGAAAGCCUGAUGCAGCGACGCCGCGUGAGGGAUGGAGGCCUUCGGGUUGUAAACCUCUUUCGCUCAUGGUCAAGCCGCAGCUUUGGGUUGUGGUGAGGGUAGUGGGUAAAGAAGCGCCGGCUAACUACGUG
rnacentral:rRNA from 1 species